AUGAUUUUAAAAACACGUCAAAAUUUAGGUUAGGAUAAGCCCUUUUGCCAUAUUAUUAUGAUUUCAAUGGUGUGUAUCACAUCACAUGUCUGGCUUCAUCUUUACAUGACAUCAACAUAAUGAUUUGAUUAGAUUGAUUUGAUUGAAUCACAAUUUAAUAAAAUUCAGCCAGUGAAUUAAUCCGAACUAGAGCCUAUAACAUUGACCAAGUUCCUUUUUUUGGCAUUGUCCAUGAUAGUACUAGGCCAUACAAACUGUCUAAGGCUAGAGCUAGAUUUGAGCCGAAUUGAGUUAAAUUGGAGCUUGACUCGGUUCAAUAUAGGUGGCUCGAGUUCAAGUUCGAGCUCGAGCUUGAUCGAGCUCGGCUAAGGUCGACUCAUUUCUGGCUCAAAUUUGGUUCAGCUCAUUUUUUUUAUCAAAACGACGUCGUUUUUAAUAUACAUUAGUCAAAACGACAUCAUUUUGUAUCAAAAAUUUUUAUUGAAAAUCUGACGAGUAACUCGAACUCAACUAAGGUCGACUAUUUUCGGGCUAGAUCGAGCUGAGCUCAAAUUGAUUCGAUUCGAAUCCAACCCUAAUCAAGGCCUUGAGGUAAGACCCAUAAAAAAUUAUUAAAAAUUUAAAAAAAAAAGCUAAAUAUUAAUUAUACAUAAAAAAAAUUAAAAUAUUAUAAUUUAAUAUGCUAACCCACAAAAAGACAUGGGUUAGCCCAUUAAAAACCGACAUGACAUGGCCCAGAAGGUCUUGAGCCAUGUCAUGAAGCCUCUUCAUCUGGUGGGUCAACAUGAUCUGCAAGAUCCGUACUGUAACGAGUCUUGGCACGGGCUGAUCCACUAACAUGACAGGCUCAUUAAGGCUGCCUCGGGACAGGCCAUCACCAUGUCUAACCGCACCAAAUGCUAAAACUAGUUUUAGUCACCUAGAGCAGACUGACCUUCCUUCUGAUUCCACCGGCCAGUCCAGCCCGGGUUUUAAAAUAAUGAGUGAACUUACUGCAUUCUCUUCUUUGCAAGUGCCGAUGACUGCAUAAUAAGAGGUAGUGGAAGAUGAGACUGCUGCAGUAGCGAUACUUAGAGAACCCCUCUUAGUUUUACAGGCUCUCAGAAUUUGGCAUGCAUGUUGAACCAGGAAAAUCCGCCUCCAGAUGUUUCGUGGACGGUCACCGCCUAUAAGCAAGUCUCUCUGCUGCGACUCAAUGUCUCGACAAUCAGAGCUCAUGUUUGACAUGUUGCAUGCCCGCCUGCUGAACCAGAACUUUUUGUAUUAUAAUACCAAGGAAGAGAAACAGAAAAAUCAGUGAAACCCUUUUGAAGAUAACCCCAAAUGGCUGGCUUUUUUUUAUACAUAAUGAACCAUGAAACCUCCUGGAAGCUGCAGUGUGAUUUACAUUUUUUCCAAUUAAAUUUCCUCAACACUUGCUGAAAAACUAGGCAGACCACAAGAACAGGAGAGAAGAGCAGGAGGUUGACGCCGUUCUCGUUAGUCAAGAGAAACACGCGUUUUGAUUGUAAGGAUGAUGGCGGAAAAUAUCAUAAAUUUCUUUCAAG